rnacentral:piRNA from 1 species
UGAGCUAAUGUUUCACUAAGUUGCUU